UACAGAGGGGGCAAGCGUUAUUCGGAAUUAUUGGGCGUAAAGGGCGCGUAGGCGGCUUUUCAAGUGACGGGUGAAAUCCCUCGGCUUAACCGAGGAACUGCCUGUCAAACUGCAUGGCUUGAGACCGGGAGAGGUGAGUGGAAUUCCCAGUGUAGCGGUGAAAUGCGUAGAUAUUGGGAGGAACACCAGUGGCGAAGGCGGCUCACUGGACCGGUACUGACGCUGAUGCGCGAAAGCGUGGGGAGCAAACAGG
rnacentral:rRNA from 1 species